AUCCAGCUGACGUGUCCCAAAUAGGACAAUACGUGCAUCUUGGAU
rnacentral:hammerhead_ribozyme from 1 species